CCUACGGGUGGCUGCAGUGGGGAAUUUUGGACAAUGGGCGAAAGCCUGAUCCAGCAAUGCCGCGUGAGUGAAGAAGGCCUUCGGGUUGUAAAGCUCUUUUGUUUGGGAAGAAAUCCCUAAGGAUAAUACCCUUGGGGGAUGACGGUACCAAAAGAAUAAGCACCGGCUAACUACGUGCCAGCAGCCGCGGUAAUACGUAGGGUGCAAGCGUUGAGCGGAAUUAGUGGGGGCGAAGCGUGAACAGGGGUGUGAAAGCCCCGAGCUCAACUUGGGAACUGCACUUGUGACUGCAAGACUAGAGUGUGUCAGAGGGAGGUAGAAUUCCACGUGUAGCAGUGAAAUGCGUAGAUAUGUGGAGGAAUACCAGUGGCGAAGGCGGCCUCCUGGGAUAACACUGACGCUCAUGUACGAAAGCGUGGGGAGCAAACAGGAUUAGAUACCCUUGUAGUC
rnacentral:rRNA from 1 species